rnacentral:rRNA from 1 species
GACAGAGGUGGCAAGCGUUGUUCGGAAUUACUGGGCUUAAAGGGUGUGUAGGCGGUUAAGUAAGCAACUUGUGAAAGCUCCAGGCUCAACCUGGGAAUUGCAAGUUGUACUGCUUGACUUGAGGCGCGUAGGGGUCAACGGAACUCUGGGUGGAGCGGUGAAAUGCGUAGAUAUCCAGGGGAACGCCAGUGGCGAAGGCGGUUGACUGGGCGCGUCCUGACGCUGAGGCACGAAAGCGUGGGUAGCGAACGGGAUUAGAUACC